GCAGUCGUGGCCGAGUGGUUAAGGCGAUGGACUAGAAAUCCAUAGGGGGUCUCCCCGCACAGGUUCAAAUCCUGUCGACUGCG
rfam:Ixodes scapularis strain Wikel colony gcontig_1108378364526, whole genome shotgun sequence.